rnacentral:lncRNA from 1 species
AUGGCAACCCUCUGAUUGGAGAGAAAACAACACACCUUAGAGGCUCCAGUUCAUACAAUAGUACAACCAAUAUACUUUGACUAAAUCACAUGCGUUUAGCUCUUAGAUGUAUAUGUUGGUAUAUGUGCUUAGAUGGAGAAAGGAGCUCAAAUCAAAUUGCCGGACAGUUCUGUGCAUGUUGUCCUAAAAGAUAGGUCCACUUAGAAACAACUAGCAGCAACAUGUACCUUCUGUUAGGUCCACCUAAAUGAGUGACUGAUGAAGGAGAGUUAUUGCUAACAUAAGAUUUUUUUUUUCCUUUUUAGAUCCUUUCCAUCCCAGGACAUUUCCUGCCACAUAGUUCUUUAGAUGGUAAGCUCUCUAAGAACAAUGAUCAAACCUGCAUUAAUUAGCAAAUGAUCCUUGCACAUACUUUACAUGUUAGUGUGCAUUAAUGUGAAUGAGUUGCUCUUUUGUUUUCUCCAGGUUUCAGAAAAUAAAUCUUACCAUGUAGCCAAGGAUCUCCUUGGUCCUUCUUCUGAAUGCAGUUGUUGUAUCACAACUUAAAAAAGAGUCCAUUGAUCUAUAUGAUUUACUGUGGCAACCAAAUUGAGCAGCUUAACAUCAUUCAUCUCAAAGCAAGAAGAUAGUUUGUUGAUGACCGCCAAAUAUUGAAGGAAUGCACAUAUUAAUGUCAAACUUCAAAGCAUUUCCAUUCAAGAGUACUACCAAGAUGCAUUAGAAUCCAUAAAUUAACAAAGCCAGACUGAAAUUAAAAGUUGUUGUAGUUAAUUUUUUCUAGUCUUCCGGUGAGGAUAAGGAGCAAGCUCUUUGACUGGACCAUAUCAAAUCAAGAAGGAAUUACCCCAUGCAAGAUGAUCACAUGUUCAGAUCUACAACCAUGUUUUGGUGUGUUUGAGAAAGAGCAGUACCGUCGUCCUCUUAAAAAGGGCUCAUGAUGAAGCCAGUCGAUUGAAGUGGUCCAUGAUGUUACUCGCCAUUUGGAUUUCUUAGUUCUGUCCUGCGACUUUUAAUGCUUUAUUUCAUCCAUCAGCCAUAUAAAUUAUAGAGUUUCUUCUAUAUUGAGAGGAGAAGAAGAAGAAGAAGAAGAAGAAGAAGAAAAAGAAAGGUUUUUUCCUUAUCAACAAAAGACACAGUAAGAUGAAUAAACAGCUAUAUAUAUAUAUAUAUAUAUAUNNNNNNNNNNNNNNNNNNNNUAUAUAUAUAUAUAUAUAUAUAUAUAUAUAUAUAUAUAUAUAUAUAUAUAUAUAUAUAUCAAACGCAAAACUGCUUAAUGGAAGGGUAGAUCUGAUCCUGCACACUUGCAAACCGCACAUAUGAACCCUAAUCCUAAAUAAUCUAAAUCUUGGCUCCAGAUAAGAGCAAAGGAUUAGUGAAUACAGGUGUAUAACUAAGAGUUGGGAGCAUCUGUUCUCCAUGAAUCAUUUGCAAGGGAAAAGGAACCAUUACCUUCUACAAGCAUGAACUUAAAGGCAGCAAAGCAUCUACCUUAGCGAUGGAGGCAUAUAUAUUUAGCCGCUUGUUUGCUGAUGCAGCAUCAUCAAGAUUCUCAUCGACGACGACGACGGGGCUCCCCGGACGUUCGUGUGAAUCUUGAUGAUGCCGCAGCUGCAAGCACCGGCCGGCUGCUGCUCCGACAAACUGGAACGCAAUUAACCGAGAGAAGAGCGCACCGGAAGCUGUAUACUUCAAGGAAGGCUGCUAUCCCACCCCAAGAUUUGAGUCGAGGAGAUGAAAUAGCGAGAGAAGAGGAAGACAUGAGCACUGCGACAAGUACUGCAGCAUCCCACGCGAGGUGACAUCUGCGGCUGGAGCCUGGAUUUAUGGACCCACAGGCGGAAUCUUGCAGCCUGUUGCAGUGCUCUUUGAGUUGUAUCGAGGCAACACCAGCGACAGAUCCAUUCCCAGGAACCAGCGGGUUUAAAAGCCAGGGCAAAAAAGAGAGAAACAAGGCCUGGAUCGAAACCCUCAUGCACCUGAUCACUUCCCACAACCAAAGAUAAUCCUGUGUUCGGGUGAGAAGGAGGAGUUCCUGUCACCUCCGAAACCUAAUCGACUUCCCACCCGAGACUUACACGUUUCCACCUUAAGAACCACGGUUUGGGGUCUCAGAGGAUAGAAAGAUGAUGGCAACUUCAAAAGUGAGGAGAGAGAGAGAGAGAGAGA